rnacentral:rRNA from 1 species
CCCUUAGAUGUUCUGGGCUGCACGCGUGCUACACUGAUAUUGCCAAUAUGUCAUUCUUAUCCGAAAUGGAUUGGGUAAUCAAGUAAUGAAAUUUCAUGCUUGGAAUCGGUAAUUGCAAUUUUAUCGUGAACGAGGAAUUCCUAGUAAGCACUAGUCAUCAGCUAAUGUUGAUUAUGUCCCUGCCCUUUGUACACACCGCCCGUCGCUACUACUGAUUGGGUGUUCAAGUGAGAUGCUUAGACCCUUGUUGCAUGGUUCAUUAUCGUGCUCCGAAAGGAAAAAGUUUCAAGCUUGAGUGUCUAGAGGAAGUAAAAGUCGUAACA